GAGAAUCAAAUUCAAGCCACUAUUUUCAGUAUCGAUAUAGCAUAUUUUGAAAAAGAAUUUGCUCCUUUCAAGACUUACUUGGUAUCUGUUGCACAAGUGAAAUUACCACCUCUUGGAUACGAAAAUCCACUUAACAAAUUCAUUUGGACACUCGAUAAAAACACCAUUGUUGAACCAGUUGAAGAGGUCAAACCUCCAGAGGAUCCAUUACCACCACCAACACGACUAACUCUUACCACAUUUAACACUUUUGAGUAUCAAUCCAAAGAAUUUGAAUUUGAUGUACUUGCCACUGUCAUUAAUGGCAGUCCUUCAACAAAGACUGCAACUGGAAAAUGAAUUCAAGAGUUUAUUGUCAUGGACAAGCUGAAAAAACCAACAAAACUGACACUUUGGGAGGAUUUCAUUGAUCAUGAGGGAGUUAAAAUUUUCAACCAACUUCAUGAUUACCCGAUCAUUCUUGCUAGGAGAGUUGGGAAAUCAUCUUCAG